rnacentral:hammerhead_ribozyme from 1 species
GUUCAGCUGACGCGUCCCAAAUAGGUCGAAACGCGCGUCAAACUGGAU